rnacentral:tRNA from 1 species
GGGCCCGUAGCUCAGAAUGGUAGAGUGCCGGGCUUUUAACCCGGUGGUCGCGGGUUCAACUCCCGCCGGGCCCGCCA